GAACUUUCCUCCAGCAGAUGUUUUUCAACUCAAUGUCAGGGCACCGCUGUGCCAAGGCAUCAUUGUGGUGUACCAGGCAGCCCCUCUUUCAGUUCUCUCUGAGGACUUGACUUCUUUGGAGAAAACGGAAGAAAUGAGAUUCGUCUUUGAUGUCUCAUCACUACAAAAUUCAGUGUCCCAUACUAUUGGUGCAGGCUCCUGUUGUAAUUCCUGUGAACUGUUGGUGAAAAAAAAGAAUCCAAAUUUGAUUGUGUCUUACUGCCCAAGUUAAGACUGAGAAAGGAAAAAAUUCUCAUUCCAGGCCAAAUAGCCUUCAGAUGAUAAGCCCCCACUCCUGCCUCCGUGGCUCCUUGAGGUCCCUGGAGCAGAUCAGGCGCACUUCAGCCUGAGGGCUUGGCAACAGCUCCUCCCCUGCCCCCAUGCCCUACCCUCAGAUACCUGCCUGCCUGAUGCUCUCAUCUCUGUUGAAUCUUUGCUUGAAUCUCAUUUUCUCAACAAAGCCUUCCAUGACUACCCGAUUUAAAAUUUCCAUUCCAUGUUUUUCUCUCCCCAUUCUCACCCUCUGCAUUCCCAAUCCUCCUCUUUCCUGCUCCCUUUCUUUCAUUUUCUCUUACUGAUUAGAUUCAUUGUU
ensembl:lncRNA